AUCUAAAUAGUUUAAGUUAAAAUGUUGGUUUGUGGUGCCGAUGAUAUAAGUUUUUAUUUUGGAUU
rnacentral:tRNA from 2 species